rnacentral:lncRNA from 1 species
CAGCCAGGACGAGCAGCCGCGGCCGUCUCAGCUCCUCAGUGCAGCCCCGCCCCCGAGGCCCGCCGCCUUCAGGGCAGCCGUGCUGGGCACCGCCCCCUCCCGCCAAUCAGGCGGCGUCGGCCACGCCCCCUUCCGCGCCCUCAGCCAAUGAGUAGCGUCGGCCAAUCACGGUCAUCACAAGCUCUCAGAGCAGAUGGAGAGCCCAUUUGGAUUCUCUGUAUCAACCUAGAUUUCCAAGGACUGAAAGAACCAAGAGCCUGA